rnacentral:rRNA from 1 species
UACAGAGGUCCCAAGCGUUGUUCGGAUUCACUGGGCGUAAAGGGUGCGUAGGUGGUUAGGUAAGUCCGAUGUGAAAUCUCCAGGCUCAACCUGGAAAUGGCAUUGGAUACUAUCUAGCUUGAGGAGUGGAGGGGGGACUGGAAUUCUCGGUGUAGCAGUGAAAUGCGUAGAUAUCGAGAGGAACACCAGUGGCGAAGGCGAGGCCCUGGACACUUCCUGACACUGAGGCACGUAGGCUAGGGGAGCAAACAGG